CUGGCGGCACGCCUAACACAUGCAAGUCGAACGCAGUAGCAAUACUGAGUGGCAAACGGGUGAGUAUAAUGUGGGAAUCUGCCUUUUGGUUUGGAAUAACACGGGGAAACUUGUGCUAAUACCAAAUAAGCCCUUACGGGGAAAGUUUUAAUGCCAAAAGAUGAGCCCGCACUUGAUUAGCUAGUUGGUAAGGUAAAAGCUUACCAAGGCAACGAUCAAUAGCUGUUCUUAGAGGAAGACCAGCCACAUUGGGACUGAGACACGGCCCAGACUCCUACGGGAGGCAGCAGUGGGGAAUCUUGCACAAUGGGGGAAACCCUGAUGCAGCGAUGCCGCGUGAGUGAAGAAGGCCCUUGGGUUGUAAAACUCUUUCGUCGGGGAAGAAAAUGACUGUACCCGAAUAAGAAGGUCCGG
rnacentral:rRNA from 1 species